GGUUGAGUUUUGCUUUAUUUGAAUGACAAGGAAAUGUGCCACCCAUUAGAAUGAUGUGUCACCUCGAAACCAACUCCAGCCAAAUUGGAGAGAGAGAAGCGGAACGUUAAUGUGGAGUCAUAAAUACUCAACUUCACACGAAAAAAAAUCCAAAGAGCCCCAAAGAGUGUGGCAAGAAGUAUAUUGCACCUUGAUCAUUGCUGCGUAGGUGGUCUCGAGAGCGAACUAAUGCGUGUAUUCCAGAUACUUGAGCUUGUUUCUUCACUGUACUUAAAUCUACUCUACAUACCGGGCAUGAGUAUCAUACCCAAGAGCACUCAAAUACAUAUGGACAGAACUGGAAGCCAAAGGGAAGCUCUUUUGUACAUUUUAAGUAUGGCUCAGAAAUCAGUCACUAUGUACAUCCUCUUUCAACAGAGUAACUACCAAUUUUUUUUCUUUGUGAGCUCUGUUGUAAAUUGUAAUAGAUAUUGAUUUCUCUGAACUUUGGUAGCCAACUAAUUUUUAUUCUUUGCUUGUCGGCU